rnacentral:pre_miRNA from 1 species
AAUAGAUGAUACUGUUGACUUUUUGUUGCACGUUUGACCAUUCGUCUUAUUCAAAAAAUGUACGUAAUUAUAAUUUAUUUUGUUACGAGUUGUUUUAUCACUCAAAAUACUUUAAGCAUGAUUUAUAUCUGGCAUUUGCAAAAAAAAAAUUGAAUGAGACGAAUGGUCAAAUGUGCGACAAAAAGUCAACGGCGUCAUCUAUU